GCGCCGAUGGUCUAGUGGCAUGACUUUGGCCUUCCAAGCCAACAGCACGGGUUCGAAUCCCGUUCGGCGCA
rnacentral:tRNA from 2 species